rnacentral:rRNA from 1 species
UACGGGGGGGGCAAGCGUUGUCCGGAAUUAUUGGGCGUAAAGGGCUCGUAGGCGGCCAACUAAGUCGGAUGUGAAAUCCCCAGGCUUAACCUGGGAACUGCAUCCGAUACUGGAUGGCUUGAAUCCGGGAGAGGGAUGCGGAAUUCCACGUGUAGCAGUGAAAUGCGUAGAGAUGUGGAGGAACACCGAUGGCGAAGGCAGCCCCCUGGGCUAACACUGACGCUGAUGCACGAAAGCGUGGGGAGCAAACAGG